rnacentral:rRNA from 1 species
UACGUAGGGAGCAAGCGUUGUCCGGAAUCAUUGGGCGUAAAGAGCGCGUAGGUGGCUUUAUAAGUCCGUUGUGAAAGUCAAAGGCUCAACCUUUGAAAGCCGAUGGAUACUGUGAAGCUAGAGUACGGAAGAGGCGAGUGGAAUUCCUGGUGUAGCGGUGGAAUGCGCAGAUAUCAGGAAGAACACCAACGGCGAAGGCGGCUCUCUGGUACGUGACUGACGCUGAGAGCGAAAAGCGUGGGGGAGCGAACAGG